rnacentral:misc_RNA from 1 species
AAGUCGUAACAAGGUUUCCGUAGGUGAACCUGCGGAAGGAUCAUUAAAAAAUUGAGGUAUUUUAUACCUCUUGUAUUUAAAACCCUACUCUUUAAAUAUAAUUUUUUUUUUUUAAAAAAAAAACUUUCAACAAUGGAUCUCUUGGCUCUC